rnacentral:rRNA from 1 species
AUUGAACGCUAGCGGUAUGCUUUACACAUGCAAGUCUAACGCGUGGCGGACGGGUGAGUAAUAUCUCGGAACGUGCCCAGUAGCGGGGGAUAACUACUAGCAAAAGUGGCUAAUACCGCAUACUAUUGUACCGGCCGAUAUUGUAUUAGCUAGUUGGUGGGGUAAAGGCUCACCAAGGCCACGAUCCGUAGCUGGUUUGGGAGGACGACCAGCACAACUGGGACUGAGACACGGCCCAGACUCCUACGGGAGGUAGCAGGGGGGAAGUUUGGACAAUGGGGGAAACCCUGAUCCAGCCAUCCCGCGUGUAUGAGAAGGCCGUCGGGUUGUAAAGUACUUUUGGCAGAGAAGCGGUAUCUGCAGAAUAAGCACCGGCUAACUACGUGCCAGCAGCCGCGGUAAUAC